AAUCCAGGGCUCCUGGUUUGCAGAUAGAAAACCAAAACCAGGGCAUCUGGUUUGCAGAUAGAAAUUAAAUCCAGGGUUUCUUGUUUGCAGACAGAACCCAUGCUAAUGAUUCUAAUUUGCAAACAGAAAUCAAAUCCAUUGUUUCUGGUUUGCAGAUAGAAAUUAAAUCCAGGGCUUCUGGUUCACAGAUAGAACCCAAUCCAAUUAUUCUGAUUUGCAGAUAGAGACCAAUUCAGGGCUUCUAGUUCGAAGGUAGAAACCAAAUCCAGGGCUUCUGGUUUGCAGAUACAAAACUAAAACCAAGGCAUCUGGUUUGCAGAUAGAAAUUAAACCCAGGGCAUCUGGUUUGCAGAUAGAAACCAAUUCAGGACUUCUAGUUUGAAAGUAGAAACCAAACCCAGGGUUUCUGGUUUGCAGAUAAAAACCAAAACCAAGGCAUCUGGUAUGCAAAUAAAAUCCAAUCUAAUGAUUCUGGUUUGCAGAUAGAAACUAAUCUAGGGCUUCUAGUUUGGAGGUAGAAACCAAAUCCAGGACUCCUGGUUUGCAGCUAAAAUCAAAUCCAGGGCUUCUGGUUUGCAAGGUUGAAACUAAACCCAGUGCUCCUGGUUUGCAGAUAGAAACCAAAUAAAAUGCCUCUGGUUUCCAGAUAGAAGCCAAGUCCAGGACUUCAGGUUUGCAGGUCAGAACCUAUCCAGGUACUUUGCAGAUAGAAACCAAAUCCAGAGCUUCUGCUUUGAAGUUAGUCACCCAAUCCAGGGCAUCUGGUUUGCAAGGUAGAACUCCAAUCCAAGGGGUCUGGUUUGCAGAUGGAAACUAGACUAGGGCUUCUAGUCUGCAAGUCAAAAUCAAAUUCAGGACAUGCAAGGUAGAAACCACAUCCAGGGCAUGUGGUUUGCAGAUCAAAACCAAAUCCAGGGCUUCAGGUUUGCAGACAAAAGGAGGCCCUCAAUGGCCAGAGAUACGAAGACCGCAUUCUCAAUCAUUGUAUUCUCUCUCUGGGUUGAAUCCUCUCUGGGCAGGGAAGACUCUUUGGUGAAGAACCAACCGAGGGGUGUCUUUGGAAGGACUUUACUUUGUAUUUCAGCUUUGCUUGUCUAGACCAGUCUCGUCCAUCGGUGGUCUGUAGGCAAAGGAGAAGCAACCCAAAGUCUUGCAAACAGGGUAUCCAGUCGCCCUCAUUCUCACGUCAUUCCACCGAAUUCGGGGCCCCCAUAUGAUGCAACCUGGGGGCGUUCCACGUUUGUCGCCUCUGGUGCUCACCAGCAAUGGGCAGAAUUCCCCAUCUAUCCUUUCUACAAAUAAUACAGGUUUCCUAAGUUAA